UUUGAAUCAUACGCAACGUACACCGGCCGAAAGUUCAGUCGUCCACGAGAGCUCGGAGAGUGGUCACGUCUCAUCGGGAAGCGACGCGCCGAUAACGAUACUUCGCGAUCUAUUGUGUACUUAUACCUUGCCAAACGCAAACGCAAACUGUUGAAUAAGUAAAAUGGGAAAGCUUAAGGAAAAAAAUUAUAAGAAGAAAGUUGGCGCUAAUUUACGAAAAAAAAAAUGUUCUCGGAAAAAGAGCAAGUCCGGAUGGUAUUGUAGAAGAGGACAAAUUUGUGGAAAUUAACUGUCCUUAUUCAGCCAGAGACAUGAGUGUUGACGAUGGCAUAAGAGAAAAGAAAAUUAUUUUUUGGAAAAGAGACAAGGAAGGUAAUAUCAAUCUAAAUAAAAAUCAUGAUUGGUACUUCCAAGCACAAGGACAACUUCACAUUACACAAAGAAAAACAUGUAUAUUUGCCGUUUGGACUGAAGUAGACAUGAAGGUUGAACUAAUUGAGGAAGAUAAAGAAUUUUGGUGUAAAAUGGAAGAGAAAUUGAAAGCUUUUUAUUUUGAUUGCUUACUGCCUGAAAUUCUUGAUUCUCGGUUAGAUAGGCAAAUGGAUAUCAGGGAACCUAAAUAUAUUCUUGAUGCAAUCAAUCAAAAAGAUAAACGAAAAUUAUCGUCAUAAAUCACAUGAACACAUUCUUAAAUUAUGCACCAACAUUCGUAAGUUAAGUUCAGUCUUCAGUCCGAGAUGCAAAUGUGCAUUUUUUUUGUAUAACCUAUCUUUGUGGUUGGAAAUAACUAUUAUAUUUUUUGAAUGAGGUUGAUACAUUCUUGUGUCUUUUACAGUUUCUUUUUAUGUAUUCUCACACAAAUUUUGGUCAGCUGAUGACAAAUUUGGAAAAUCAACAUUAUUUUUUCUGAAAUUUAUUAAUGCCUUUGAUUUCUCAAUUUUUAUUAAAAAAAACUACAACUCUUCGGUACAACCUGUAUAAUAAAUUAACCACGUUUCUGCGCUUUAAGUAUGUUUUUGUAAAAUUCUUAUCAAGUUGUUUUACGUCAGGUUAAAUUAAAGAUUUUUUUAUUA